CAUAAUCAUUAGUUUUUUAAUUGAGAACUUGUAUGAAGGAUCGGACAAAGGAAGAGCUGUCUCUAUUACAAAUAUUGAAUUUAACUUUUAAGUGAAAAGGCUUAAAUAGUUCAAGGGGACGAUAAGACCCUAUAAAGCAUUUUGUUGGGGCGAUAUAGGUAUAAUUAUUAACUACUUAAGUUUAGUACAAAGAUGGAUGGAUUGAUCCUUUCUAAAGAUUAUAAGACUAAGUUACUUUAGGGAUAACAGCGUAAUUCCUUUUGAGAGUUCAUAUCGAAAAAGGAGUUUGCGACCUCGAUGUUGAAUUAAAAUGUCUAUAUAAUGCAGCCGUUAUAUAAGAAGGUCUGUUCGACCUUUAAAGUUUU
rnacentral:rRNA from 1 species